CCUUUGACGUUAGCGGCGGACGGGUGAGUAACACGUGGGUAACCUACCUAUAAGACUGGGAUAACUUCGGGAAACCGGAGCUAAUACCGGAUAAUAUUUCGAACCGCAUGGUUCGAUAGUGAAAGGUGGUUUUGCUAUCACUUAUAGAUGGACCCGCGCCGUAUUAGCUAGUUGGUAAGGUAACGGCUUACCAAGGCGACGAUACGCAGCCGACCUGAGAGGGUGAUCGGCCACACUGGAACUGAGACACGGUCCAGACUCCUACGGGAGGCAGCAGGU
rnacentral:rRNA from 1 species